rnacentral:rRNA from 1 species
UGGGGAAUAUUGCACAAUGGGCGAAAGCCUGAUGCAGCGACGCCGCGUGAGGGAUGACGGCCUUCGGGUUGUAAACCUCUUUCAGUAGGGACGAAGCGCAAGUGACGGUACCUGCAGAAGAAGCACCGGCUAACUACGUGCCAGCAGCCGCGGUAAUACGUAGGGUGCGAGAGUUGUCCGGAAUUACUGGGCGUAAAGAGCUCGUAGGCGGUUUGUCACGUCGUCUGUGAAAUCCUAGGGCUUAACCCUGGACGUGCAGGCGAUACGGGCUGACUUGAGUACGACAGGGGAGACUGGAAUUUCUGGUGUAGCGGUGGAAUGCACAGAUAUCAGGAAGAACACCGAUGGCGAAGGCAGGUCUCUGGGUAGUAACUGACGCUGAGGAGCGAAAGCAUGGGUAGCGAACAGGA